UCCUCUUGGCACCACGCGGUUUUCCUCCUGCUGGAGUGUGGGGAUCCUGGGCUUCGCCACUUCGGGAUACAGCCCACACCGGGUCUCAGUUUGGGUGUGUCGAGUCCGCGGCGGCCUCUUCCUGAAAGCCGCAUCUACCGCCGACAUCACGCGCCUGAUGAGAGGACCCACGGCAGGAAGGACAAGCUGCAGCCACCUCGAGCAAGGCUGUGCAACGAGCCUCUACUCUUCUCCCUCCGCACCAAGUUAAGUAGCUAGUUGUUAGUGUAGCCAGGGCAGGUUAGUCUUGUGCGAGCACGAGUAACGCUAGGCUCAGCUGAGUGUGUAUGUGAGAUUUGUCUGUGUUUUCUUUGUGUGUAAUAAAGUUAGUGCAUAGUUG